CCUACGGGAGGCAGCAGUAGGGAAUCUUCCACAAUGGGCGAAAGCCUGAUGGAGCAACGCCGCGUGGGUGAAGAAGGUCUUCGGAUCGUAAAACCCUGUUGUUAGAGAAGAAAGUUCGUGCGAGUAACUGUUCACGUUUCGACGGUAUCUACCCAGAAAGCCACGGCUAACUACGUGCCAGCAGCCGCGGUAAUACGGAGGAUGCGAGCGGUAUCCGGAUUUAUUGGGUUUAAAGGGUGCGUAGGCGGACAGUCAAGUCAGCGGUAAAAAUGCGGUGCUCAACGCCGUACAGCCGUUGAAACUGGCAGUCUUGAGUGGGCGAGAAGUAUGCGGAAUGCGUGGUGUAGCGGUGAAAUGCAUAGAUAUCACGCAGAACUCCGAUUGCGAAGGCAGCAUACCGGCGCCCGACUGACGCUGAGGCACGAAAGCGUGGGUAUCGAACAGGAUUAGAUACCCCUGUAGUC
rnacentral:rRNA from 1 species